GGGCCUAUAGCUCAACCUGGAUAGAGCAAUUGGUUUCGGCCCAGUAGAUGUCGGUUCAAAUCCGGCUAGGCCCA
rnacentral:tRNA from 1 species